GGGACGUCGGCCUGGAGGAGCCCCUGCCCCGCAGCCGCUGCCCCGGCACCAUGCAACUCCAGUUCCAGCUCCAGCUCGGCGGCUCUGAAAUGGUCUUGCUGAGAUUGCUUUUCAUCUGAGCUUCGGGUGUUCCAAGGUGAGACCUCUGAGGCCAGGGGACCCUCGCCAGCGGCGGAGCCAACCGAAGCUGCAGCCUCGGAACAACAAAUUCCGGGGGUGAGAGGCCACCAAACCUUCAAGAGGAAAUAUGAGCCAAGGGCGGAACCUUGUGUGGGCUCUCCCUGUCCGGGAGCUGAGGGAAUGGGAGGAUCUCGCCUUGCAGACUUUCCAAAAUCCCUUCUCCUCCUCCUUUCGAGAUAUGAGGUUUCUAGGUCUAUCCCAGAAAAGCAUCUUUUACUCCAUAAAUUCUUGUUGAAACUCCUGUGUAAGCUUUCA